GGGGCCGUAGCUCAGUUGGGAGAGCGCCUGAAUGGCAUUCAGGAGGUCGGGGGUUCGAUUCCCCCCGGCUCCA
rnacentral:tRNA from 1 species